GACGGGGGGGGCAAGUGUUCUUCGGAAUUACUGGGCGUAAAGAGUGUGUAGGCGGUGCUCCAAGUCUGGUGUGAAAUCUCCCGGCUUAACUGGGAGGGUGCAUUAGAAACUGGAAUGCUAGAGGAUGGGAGAGGUAAGCGGAAUUCCUGGUGUAGCGGUGAAAUGCGUAGAUAUCAGGAGGAACACCUGUGGUGUAGACAGCUUACUGGACCAUUUCUGACGCUGAGACACGAAAGCGUGGGUAGCAAACAGG
rnacentral:rRNA from 1 species